AUUGAACGCUGGCGGCAGGCCUAACACAUGCAAGUCGAGCGGAUGAAGGGAGCUUGCUCCUGGAUUCAGCGGCGGACGGGUGAGUAAUGCCUAGGAAUCUGCCUGGUGGUGGGGGAUAACGUCCGGAAACGGGCGCUAAUACCGCAUACGUCCUGAGGGAGAAAGUGGGGGAUCUUCGGACCUCACGCUAUCAGAUGAGCCUAGGUCGGAUUAGCUAGUUGGUGGGGUAAAGGCCUACCAAGGCGACGAUCCGUAACUGGUCUGAGAGGAUGAUCAGUCACACUGGAACUGAGACACGGUCCAGACUCCUACGGGAGGCAGCAGUGGGGAAUAUUGGACAAUGGGCGAAAGCCUGAUCCAGCCAUGCCGCGUGGGUGAAGAAGGUCUUCGGAUUGUAAAGCACUUAAGUUGGGAGGAAGGGCAGUAAGUUAAUACCUUGCUGUUUUGACGUUACCAACAGAAUAAGCACCGGCUAACUUCGUG
rnacentral:rRNA from 1 species